GCACUCGUGAGAAGAGCUAAGAGGACGGCAGCUUGAGCGUCUGUGACUGGAGGGGGUCGAGGGUGGGGCGGGGGAAGACAAGCCAAAAAGAAGCAGGCAGCAGCCACUGGACAAGAUGCCUCCUUAUGCUUAUUCUUAAGAGAGAAUGAAUCUCAUGGAGGCAUUUCUUCAACUGAGGCUCCUUCCUCUCUGAUGACGCUAGCUUGUGUCAAGUUGACACACAAAUCCAGCCAGGACAUCCAUCUUAAAGGAAACAUGGAAGAAAUUUGACACUGCCCUCCACCCUUCUACACACAUACCCACGAUUUCACUGUGUAGCCCUGGCCAUCCUGGAACUCACUCUGUAGACCAAGCUGGGCUCCAACUUAGAAAUCUGCCUGCCUCUGCCUCCUGAGUCCUGGGGUUUUAAGGCGAGUCCAUCACUGCCCAGCUUUGAAACUGUCCUACUUGUACAUGUAUGUUUCAUCUAGUUGAAAAAAAAAAAA